UACGAGAGGCCCAAACGUUAUUCGGAAUUACUGGGCUUAAAGAGUUCGUAGGCGGCAUUGCAAGUAGGGUGUGAAAGCCCUCGGCUCAACCGAGGAAUUGCGCUCUAAACUGCAGUGCUUGAGGAACCUAGAGGUGAGCAGAACAGAUGGUGGAGCGGUGAAAUGCGUUGAUAUCGCUUGGAACGCCGAAGGUGAAAACAGGUUGCUGGGGUUGUGCCGACGCUGAGACACGAAAGCCAGGGGAGCAAACGGG
rnacentral:rRNA from 1 species